rnacentral:rRNA from 1 species
CCGUCUUUGGCACGGAUGGACCAGGGCUUUUGUGAUGCGCUCUCGAAGAGUCGAGUUGUUUGGGAAUGCAGCUCAAAAUGGGUGGUGAACUCCAUCUAAAGCUAAAUAUUGGCGAGAGACCGAUAGCGAACAAGUACCGUGAGGGAAAGAUGAAAAGCACUUUGGAAAGAGAGUGAAACAGUACGUGAAAUUGUUGAAAGGGAAACGCUUGAAGUCAGUCACGUCGACCGAGACUCAGCCUUGCCUCGGCUUGGUGUAUUUCUCGGCUGACGGGUCAGCAUCAAUUUUGCCCCUUGGAUAAUGGCGAGGGAAAUGUGACACCUUUACGGUGUGUUAUAGUCUCUCGUCGCAUGCAAGGGUCGGGAUUGAGGAACUCAGCACGCGCCCUCGGGCGUCGGGGCUUUGCCCACGAUACGUGCUUAGGAUGUUGGCGUAAUGGCUUUAAACGACCCGUCUUGAAACACGGACCAAGGAGUCUAACAUGCCUGCGAGUGUUCGGGUGGAAAACCCGUGCGCGCAAUGAAAGUGAAAGUUGGGACCUCUGUCGUGGAGGGCACCGACGCCCGGACCAGACCUUCUGUGACGGUUCUGCGGUAGAGCAUGUAUGUUAGGACCCGAAAGAUGGUGAACUAUGCCUGAAUAGGGUGAAGCCAGAGGAAACUCUGGUGGAGGCUCGUAGCGAUUCUGACGUGCAAAUCGAUCGUCAAAUUUGGGUAUAGGGGCGAAAGACUAAUCG